AUUGUGGGCUGAACAGUGAACAAUGAACCAGGACCGUUGCCUCCUUAUUUAAAAUGCUCGUUCUAUAAACCUUGCGUUCUGUUUUCUUGAGUUUCAUGAUAAAGUAAAAGAUAAAGAUUUACUUUAUCAUGAAAUCGUGUUGAGUUCUACAUUUUUGCAUUUUGCAUAAUUACGGUUUCAGUUCCUCCAAAAGUUAAAUGUUUCAAGUAGCUUUAUGUUUUAUGUGGUAGAGUUGUGCCGUACUUUCGUUCGAAAGUUCAUGUGUGUCAUUUCUUGCUCAUCAGUUGGUUUUCUAUGUAGGUAUGAUACCUAACCUAUUCUGUUCACUUUCUGCUGCCCAUCAAGCACCUUCUAUGUUAUGUUUCAUCGUUCCUGUGUUGCCGUCAUUCAAAAACCAUGUUGGUGGUAGAAUUAUCAGAAAUUGUGUAUGAAUCAACGUGUCUUGUGAACCUUGUGACAGUAGUAUCAAGGUCAACGCUCCAGUGACCAGCGUUCCCGUCUUAGCAGCAUUAUUGUUUUUCGGCCUGUUUUGUGUUGAUGUCAGUGACUGUGGCUGGGUGGUCACAUUCACUGGGAUUAUUGUUGUUAUUGUAUCAUUAUUAUUAUAACCAUGUCCCCCGGUACGGGUAGUGUUGAAAUGAAAUAUGUAAUCUAGCUGAACGGUUAACAGAAGUUUAAAAACACGAUUGGUUGAUGGAUUCAAUUGGAAAGUAAUAUGUAAUCAUACCUUGAAUUUGUCAUUCUUGCUGGAAUUGUGCAUUGCUGUAAACAUGUAAAAUGUGGACAAUUAUCUACCUGGCGCAGACUUUUAACUGAUAGUAUAUACUCUUUUGAUUUAAAAGUUUCACUUAAGGCCACUUUAGAAAUGUUAGACUAUACAUUUUUAAUGACAGCUGGAUAAACUUUUAUAAUGCUAAAGAUCAUUUAGUGGUAUCUAUUUUAUUAAAAUAUUAAAGUAAAAUCUUAAUUGUUCUGGAUACCAAGACUCUUGUUUUCAUGAUCAUGAUAUUUUAUUUAUAAUGACCAGGGCUGUGAAUUUAAUGCACUAAAAAACCUUAAAAAUUUCAAAUAAAUGC